AGUUCAAGAGUACGUGAAACCGUUUAGAGGUAAACGGGUGGAGCCGCAAGGCAUCUCCGGGGGAUUCAACCAACCGCUCCGCGGCACUGGGACGUUCGCGGAUCCGAUGGACCGUCCGUCCCCGUCACCUCGGUCGGCUGGCGCACUUUCCCCGGGGCAAUGUCGCGACCGGUUCCGCGGCGAUCACAAGCCCGUCUCGAAGGUGACUCUGGCCUCCGGGCCGGAGAGUUAUAGCUUGGCGUGGCGUCGCUCUCCGCGGGACCGAGGAACCGCCGCCCGCUCGCCUCCCGUUCGUCCCGCAGGACGUUCAAACUCGGCGGACUGGAUCCAGUGCGUCGUAACCGCGCUCUGCGUCGACUGCGGGUUGGCUGGCGGGUGUUAACGGUCCGCGACCGUUCGGUCGGCAUUCCACCCGACCCGUCUUGAAAANGGGACCAA
rnacentral:rRNA from 1 species